UACGGAGGGCGCAAGCGUUGUUCGGAAUCACUGGGCGUAAAGCGCGUGUAGGCGGCUUGGCAAGUCGGAUGUGAAAUCCCGAGGCUCAACCUCGGAACUGCACUCGAAACUGCCUGGCUCGAGUCCCGGAGAGGGUGGCGGAAUUCCCGGUGUAGGGGUGAAAUCCGUAGAUAUCGGGCGGAACACCAGUGGCGAAGGCGGCCACCUGGACGGUGACUGACGCUGAGACGCGAAAGCGUGGGGAGCGAACACG
rnacentral:rRNA from 1 species